rfam:Canis lupus familiaris chromosome 18, whole genome shotgun sequence.
GUGGUCACUUCAACUGCAAAUAAACCAAAAAGGGAACAAUACAGAGAAUAUUAGCAUGGCCCCUGCUGAAUGAUAACACGCAAAUUGUGCUCACUUUG